rnacentral:rRNA from 1 species
CAUGUAGGCGGUUGUUUAAGUCUGAUGUGAAGCCCUGGGCUCAACCCAGGAAGUGCAUUGGAUACUGGAUAACUUGAGUACGGGAGAGGAAAGUGGAAUUUCGAGUGUAGGGGUGAAAUCCGUAGAUAUUCGAAGGAACACCAGUGGCGAAGGCGGCCUUCUGGACCGAUACUGACGCUGAGAUGCGAAAGCGUGGGGAGCAAACA